AUGCCUUUUGGGUUAACUAAUGCACCUAGUACUUUCAUGAGACUAAUGAACGAAGGUUUACGUGCUUUCAUUGGACGAUUUGUGGUAGUCUACUUUGAUGAUAUACUAAUUUAUAGCAAAUCUUUGGAAGAACAUUUGGAACAUUUGCGUGCUGUUUUUAUUGCUCUACGUGAUGCACGUUUGUUUGGUAACCUUGGGAAGUGCACCUUUUGCACCGACCGAGUGUCUUUUCUUGGCUAUGUUGUUACUCCACAGGGAAUUGAAGUUGACAAAGCCAAGAUUGAAGCUAUUGAGAGUUGGCCGCAGCCCAAAACUGUCACACAAGUGAAUAGUUUUCUUGGCCUUGCU
rnacentral:rRNA from 1 species